CUUCGGGUAAUGAGGAUGGCGGACGGGUGAGUAACGCGUAAGGAACUUGCCUCUUGGACUGGGACAACUGUUGGAAACGACAGCUAAUACCGGAUAUUAUGAGAUUCUCGCAUGAGAAACUUAUGAAAGCUAUAUGCGCCAAGAGAGAGCCUUGCGUUCCAUUAGCUAGUUGGUGGGGUAACGGCCCACCAAGGCGACGAUGGAUAGCCGGCCUGAGAGGGUGAACGGCCACAAGGGGACUGAGACACGGCCCUUACUCCUACGGGAGGCAGCAGUGGGGAAUAUUGGACAAUGGGCCACAAGCCUGAUCCAGCAAUUCUGUGUGCACGAUGAAGGUCUUCGGAUUGUAAAGUGCUUUCAGUUGGGAAGAAGAAAGUGACGGUACCAACAGAAGAAGCGACGGCUAAAUACGUGCCAGCAGCCGCGGUAAUACGUAUGUCGCAAGCGUUAUCCGGAUUUAUUGGGCGUAAAGCGCGUCUAGGCGGAAAAAUAAGUCUGAUGUUAAAAUGCGGGGCUCAACUCCGUAUUGCGUUGGAAACUGUUUUUCUAGAGU
rnacentral:rRNA from 1 species